rnacentral:sRNA from 1 species
GUGAUUUGAUCAUAUGGAACCAAGACACCACAGAAUAUGACAAGGACUAAGUGGCAUGUGAGCUCUAUGCUUCUUUUUUGGCUCUAAAUCAAGCACCCACCUCCAAUGAGCAGAGGAUUGACAAGAGAAGCAAAUACCUCAUGAGGAGCGUAUGCCGCCACAAACUGGCCAAUACCGGUGUACAAAAACUCAUACAACGUCAUCUGAAGAUAAAUAGGUCCUGCGACUCCAGGUUUGAAGCUGAAACCGAUGGUUGGAUACCACGAGGCAAAGUAGAGUAGAGCGCAGACGAGGAGGUAGGGAAUUUCUGCUACAAUCUCUGCGAAACAGAAGGCAUGCCAGGAGUAAAGCUUUGCCUUUUUCUCUCGCGCUUCGAAGAUGUCUCGGUUGUGUAGGAACUUGGGCUGGGUCUGAGCUAUUACACCCGCUACAAAACACAUAUCAGCAAUUGAAGGCAGUGAGUAUGAAAAGGCCUACGAGCAACGAAAACAAACAGGAAAAUUGUGAAGAUACGGUUCUGGAUAUCCGCGUAUCUGUGAAAAGAGUCAGACAGCUACAGCCGCAUUAUCAACAGGGACGAAACGCACGCUUCACCAAUUUUCCAGAAACUGAAACCAUUGAAGAGAGCUGCCAUGACGUGCAGCGCAACCUUCAUUCAUGUAAGUGAUAGCGUAAGUCGGCUUCAAAGCUUUCUCACCUUGUUCAUCACGUAUUCAGUGUCACGCCAGAGUUGGAUCGAUGCACGCUUGGUGACUAGCUUGAGCUGGGUCAUGUUUGUCGAAGCAAACUCAUACUCGCCACCCUCGACAAUGGUGAUGUUAUUCGCACCAGCCUCCUUCAGUUCCUCCAGUUCCCUGGCACGCUCUUUGCAUUCGUCUGAUUCAAGCCAAACCUGAGCCCAAUCUCGCCCUUUCGAAAGGUCACCCGACACAAUAUCAAUCAUCCGUUCAGCUGGAUUGACGUCCUUAGGGAUUGUGACGCCUUGUUUCUCAAAGUAGCUGGUCAACUCGCUGACAGCUCCAACUAGUCAAGCAAUCAGCUGUAUAGCUUAAACCUCCGUUAAGCAAAUGACCCACAGUACACAGUGUUGCCACCGCCUUUGAGGAGCAGGAGCUGGUCAAAUUGAGCGAAGAGAGCAGCGGAAGGUUGGUGAAUGGUACAAAGAACAGCUUGACCGGUAGCGGCUAGCUUUCUUAAGAAGGAAACAAUCAAAUAAGAGUUUUGGCCAUCAAGACCCGAAGUAGGCUCAUCCAGGAAUAAUAAGGUUCUGCCAGGAUUAGCGUAGUUGUCAGUGCAGGCAAAGUCGAACUUACGGCUUGCUGACAAGUUCAACACCGAUUGUUAACCGCUUUCGCUGCUCGACACCCAAACCGGCUUCCGGAGUACCAAUCAGGGCAUCUUCAAUGUCAUGUAGCUCUAGCAGAUCGAUAAUGACAUCGACAAAACUCAAGAGCCUCUCUCACCGUAGCCUGAGGAAGGUGUACAUCCACUUGUUCGCAAUAGCCGGUGGUUCGCUGGAAAGAAAUGGGAAGUUGCUUGCCGUUCAUGAGAACCUCACCACGGAUAUCGCCGUCCGUCUUUCGAGCUGCCAACACAUCCAUCAAGGUCGUUUUGCCUGCUCCAGAAGAUCCCAUGAGAGCAGUAAGAGUACCAGCUUUGCAGUACCCAAAGAUGUUGUUGAGAAGCUGGCGGGGCUUGCCAUUCACGUUGACGGUGUAGCAGAGGUUUUUCCAGGUCAAAACCCUGGUAAAUGGC